UACUACUCUUGUUUAUUAAUAAAAUUUUAUAGACGUUAGUAUCAUUGGGCCAACAUUCGUCGAAUAUCCUUUUCGGUAGGGAUCGUCAGAGAUCGCUCGACUAAAUACUGAGACAAAAUAAUUUCCUGAUGUUGAAAGUCCGCUAUAUAUGACCUACAAAUACAAAAAUUAGAAUAAAAUAAAUCCGCCCCUGUUCUCCAUUUUGUCCACUGCCAAGUUUCGACCGAGGGUCUGCUAUUUAUGAUUUUACGGAGUAUGGGCUUAGUGUUCUUACAGAUGUCUCCGAUAGUAAAUAAAUAGUCCUUAGAAGGAACCAUGAGUCCUCACCGAAGCCUAAAAUCACACAACAACCAUCAUAUUUUCACUAGACAAAUCUUUUCACAUGGACAGAUGACUAAAGAGGAUCAUAAACUACACAAUUAAAUCAUGUUUUAAAAAUACGUCCUAAUUUUCGUUUGAUAUUUACUACACGUUAGAUACGAGGGAAGUUCUGUGUAAAUAAAUAUGUACCUAUUUGGAUUUUAAUCCUCAGCUUAACAAUACUUAUAAUACUCUCAG